rnacentral:rRNA from 1 species
UACGUAGGGUGCAAGCGUUGUUCGGAUUCACUGGGCGUAAAGGGUGCGUAGGUGGCUUGGUAAGUUUGAUGUGAAAUCUCCGGGCUUAACCCGGAAAUGGCAUUGAAUACUAUUGAGCUGGAGGUUUGGAGGGGGGACUGGAAUUCUCGGUGUAGCAGUGAAAUGCGUAGAUAUCGAGAGGAACACCAGUGGCGAAGGCGAGUCCCUGGACAACACCUGACACUGAGGCACGAAAGCUAGGGGGAGCAAACAGG